UACGUAGGGGGCAAGCGUUGUCCGGAAUCAUUGGGCGUAAAGCGCGCGUAGGCGGCCCGGUAAGUCCGUUGUGAAAGUCAAAGACUCAACCUUUGAACGCCGAUGGAUACUGCCGGGCUAGAGUCCGGAAGAGGCGAGUGGAAUUCCUGGUGUAGCGGUGGAAUGCGCAGAUAUCAGGAGGAACACCAAUAGCGAAGGCAGCUCGCUGGGACGGUACUGACGCUGAGGCGCGAAAGCGUGGGGAGCGAACAGG
rnacentral:rRNA from 1 species